CAGAGUUCAUGCCCUUACGGGUAGAUCUCCCACCCUGUGUUAUUAUUACCUUUGUUGCUUUGGCGGGCCGUCUAGCUUCGGCCAGACUACCGGCUCCGGCUGGUCAGCGGCCGCCAGAGGACUCAAACUCUAAAUUUAUUGUUCUCUGAGAAUCAUAAAAUAGUUA
rnacentral:misc_RNA from 1 species